UGCAAGAAAUUGCAAUAAAAUAGUCUGCCUAAGAAAAAUUGAAUUUUUUUGAAAAUUUUUUUUUUUUGAUAAACGACUUAAAGAUCAAAAUAUGUGUCUUCCUCUACUCGGAUCAAACUGUCAAUUUUUUUCUACACUUUUAGGUGUAUUUUGUGCAAGAAAUUGCAAUAAAAUAGUCUGCCUAAGAAAAAUUGAAUUUUUUUGAAAAUUUUUUUUUGACGAUAAACGACUUAAAGGUCAAAAUAUGUGUCUUCCUCUACUCGGAUCGGGCUGUCAAUUUUUUUCUACACUUUUAGGUGUAUUUUGUGCAAGAAAUUGCAAUAAAAUAGUCUGCCUAAGAAAAAUUGAAUUUUUUUGAAAAUUUUUUUUUGACGAUAAACGCUUUAAUGUUGGUAAUAGGUGUCUUCCUCUACUCGGAUCGGGCUGUCAAUUUUUUUCUACACUUUUAGGUGUAUUUUGUGCAUGAAAUUGCAAUAAAAUAGUCUGCCUAAGAAAAAUUUUUUUUUUUGAAAAACGACUUAAAAGUCAAAAUAUGUGUCUUCCUCUACUCGGAUCGGGCUGUCAAUUUUUUUCUACACUUUUAGGUGUAUUUUGUGCAAGAAAUUGCAAUAAAAUAGUCUGCCUAAGAAAAAUUGAAUUUUUUUGAAAAUUUUUUUUUUUGAAAAACGACUUAAAAGUCAAAAUAUGUGUCUUCCUCUACUCGGAUCGGGCUGUCAAUUUUUUUCUACACUUUUAGGUGUAUUUUGUGCAAGAAAUUGCAAUAAAAUAGUCUGCCUAAGAAAAAUUGAAUUUUUUUGAAAAUUUUUUUUUUUGAAAAACGACUUAAAGGUCAAAAUAUAUGUCUUCCUCUACUCGGAUGAGGCUCUCAAUUUUUUUCUACACUUUUAGGUGUAUUUUGUGCAAGAAAUUGCAAUAAAAUAGUCUGCCUAAGAAAAAUUGAAUUUUUUUGAAAAUUUUUUUUUUUGAAAAACGACUUAAAGGUCAAAAUAUGUGUCUUCCUCUACUCGGAUCGGGCUGUCAAUUUUUUUCUACACUUUUAGGUGUAUUUUGUGCAAGAAAUUGCAAUAAAAUAGUCUGCCUAAGAAAAAUUGAAUUUUUUUGAAAAUUUUUUUUUUUUGAAAAACGACUUAAAGGUCAAAAUAUGUGUCUUCCUCUACUCGGAUCGGGCUGUCAAUUUUUUUCUACACUUUUAGGUGUAUUUUGUGCAAGAAAUUGCAAUAAAAUAGUCUGCCUAAGAAAAAUUGAAUUUUUUUGAAAAUUUUUUUUUUUGAAUAACGACUUAAAGGUUAAAAUAUGUGUCUUCCUCUACUCGGAUCAAACUGUCAAUUUUUUUCUACACUUUUAGGUGUAUUUUGUGCAAGAAAUUGCAAUAAAAUAGUCUGCCUAAGAAAAAUUGAAUUUUUUUGAAAAUUUUUUUUUUGAAAAACGACUUAAAGGUCAAAAUAUGUGUCUUCCUCUACUCGGAUCAAACUGUCAAUUUUUUUCUACACUUUUAGGUGUAUUUUGUGCAAGAAAUUGCAAUAAAAUAGUCUGCCUAAGAAAAAUUGAAUUUUUUUGAAAAUUUUUUUUUUUGAAAAACGACUUAAAGGUCAAAAUAUAUGUCUUCCUCUACUCGGAUCAGGCUGUCAAUUUUUUUUUACACUUUAAGGUGUAUUUUGUGCAAGAAAUUGCAAUAAAAUAGUCUGCCUAAGAAAAAUUGAAUUUUUAUGAAAAACGACUUAAAAGUCAAAAUAUGUGUCUUCCUCUACUCGGAUCGGGCUGUCAAUUUUUUUCUACACUUUUAGGUGUAUUUUGUGCAAGAAAUUGCAAUAAAAUAGUCUGCCUAAGAAAAAUUGAAUUUUUUUGAAAAUUUUUUUUUUUGAAAAACGACUUAAAAGUCAAAAUAUGUGUCUUCCUCUACUCGGAUCGGGCUGUCAAUUUUUUUCUACACUUUUAGGUGUAUUUUGUGCAAGAAAUUGCAAUAAAAUAGUCUGCCUAAGAAAAAUUGAAUUUUUUUGAAAAUUUUUUUUUUUGAAAAACGACUUAAAAGUCAAAAUAUGUGUCUUCCUCUACUCGGAUCGGGCUGUCAAUUUUUUUCUACACUUUUAGGUGUAUUUUGUGCAAGAAAUUGCAAUAAAAUAGUCUGCCUAAGAAAAAUUGAAUUUUUUUGAAAAUUUUUUUUUUUGAAAAACGACUUAAAGGUCAAAUCAUGUGUCUUCCUCUACUCGGAUCAGGCUGUCAAUUUUUUUCUACACUUUUAGGUGUAUUU